AUGCUUCUCCUAAAGACUAAGCCAUGCAUGCCUCCGAAUAAGAGGAAGCAAUUCUCUCUGAAUCUGCGAACGGCUCCGCAAACCAGUUGUAAACUAUAGCAAGCAAGCCCUUGGCCUUUCGGGGCCUUGGGCAACACGGAUAACCCUGGUAAUUCUGAGGCUAAUACGAGAACGUAAUCCCCGGCUAACCGGCAACGGAAGGCUGGGAGACGUGCAAUGUAUCGCGAGGCUUUACCGGGAAUGGAUGCACGUCUGGACCGCGCUAAAAACGGAUGAUCCCUCCGGGGGUCGCCCGAGCGGCUCUUGCUGUGUGCUUCUGACCUAUCAACUAGACGGCAGCGUAAGGGACAUGCUAUGGUAACAACGGGUACAGAGGAUUAGGGUUCGAUCCUGGAGAGUGGGCCUGAGAGAUUGCUCAUACUUCUAAGGAAGGCAGCAGGCGCGCAACGUUCCCCUUGGGCAAUGCUUGAGGGCGUUAGGGGACAUAUGAAUGCUUGCCUUAUAGGUGAGCAAUUCAAAUGGGUCUGUUGUAAAUAGGCUC
rnacentral:rRNA from 1 species